rnacentral:other from 1 species
GGCGUUCUGCGCUUCUCGACAGGAGUAAAUUUUCCCCGGGGCCUUAUUGAUCCUUAGGGAGCUGUCCCUGACCUGGCUCGUGGGCUGGGUCAUACGGCGCCCACCUACUUUGUAGGCUCCCGGGAUCAACCUCUCCGCCGGUCGUCGUGGUUCGCCG